rnacentral:tRNA from 1 species
UGGGUAGUAGCACAGUGGUGUAGUGUAGUUGUUAUGGAUAGUAGGUUUGGGGUUCGAUCCCCAAGCACCCCU